UACGAGAGGCCCAAACGUUAUUCGGAAUUACUGGGCUUAAAGAGUUCGUAGGCGGCAUGAAAAGCAGGGUGUGAAAGCCCUCGGCUCAACCGAGGAAUUGCGCUCUGAACUGUCGUGCUUGAGGAACCUAGAGGUGAGCAGAACUGAUGGUGGAGCGGUGAAAUGCGUUGAUAUCAGCAGGAAUACCGGAGGCGAAGGCGGCUCACUGGGGGUUUUCUGACGCUGAGGAACGAAAGCCAGGGGAGCGAACGGG
rnacentral:rRNA from 1 species